rnacentral:lncRNA from 1 species
CCUAGCGGUAUCGGUAUCAGCGGUGAGUUGCGCCAUUGUCCGGCGGGAGGGACAGGACGAGCUCCCAGUUUUCUACGCCGGCAGAGGCAUGAACGGGGCAGAAACAAGGUAUCCACCCUUAGAACAGCUAGCUCUUGCACUCAUCGUUGCCGCCAGACGCCUCCGCCAGUAUUUUCAAGCGCACACAAUCCACGUGCUGACCAAUCAACCACUAAGACAGGUGAUGCAGAACCCUGAACAUUCAGGGCGCCUCAGCAAGUGGGCCAUCGAGCUCAGUGAAUUUGACAUAGAUUACAAGCCAAGAACCGCCAUGAAGGGCCAGGCAGUAGCGGACUUCAUCGCCGAGCUCACUGAGCGUCAGCCCAAUCCCAGCACGGAGAAUGAGCCCGGGACGGAAAUGGUCACCGCU